rnacentral:rRNA from 1 species
AUGUAAGUUUUUGCAUGAAUUUUUAUUUAUUUUAAUAAUAAAUAAAUUUAAAUUAGUCGCAGUAAUUAAUAUUAUUUAUUAAAGAAAUUUAGAAAUAGUUAUAUUAUUUAGUAUUGGCAAAAUUUGUGCCAGCAGUCGCGGUUAUACAAAUAAUACAAAUAAUUUAUUUUCAGUAAGAGUUAAAUUUUAGUAGAAAAAAUAUAAAUAAAUUUUUAAGGUGAAAUUUUAAAUUUAUAAAUUUUUAAUUUUUUUAUAUUGAAGCUUAAAAAUUUUAGGUAUAAACUAGGAUUAGAUACCCUAUUAUUUAAAAUGUAAUUAUUUUACUAGAGUAGUAUUAGUUAUGUUCUUGAAACUAAAAAAAUUUGGCGGUAUUUUAGUCUAUUCAGAGGAAUCUGUUCUGUAAUUGAUAAUCCACAAUGGACCUUUCUUAAGUUUGUUUUUCAGUUUAUAUACCGUCGUUAUCAGAAUAUUUUAUAAAAAUAAUAAUUUUCAAUAAUUUUUAUAGAAAUUUAUAUCAGAUCAAGGUGUAGCUUAUAUUUAAGUAGAAAUGGAUUACAAUAAAAUUAUUUAAAUGGAUAUAAUAAUGAAAAAGUUAUUGAAAGUGGAUUUGAUAGUAAAUUUAUAGAGAUUAAUAAUUUGAUUUUAGCUCUAAAAUAUGCACACAUCGCCCGUCGCUCUUAUUUUUAAGGUAAGAUAAGUCGUAACAUAGUAGAUGUA